ACCACCCCCCCACCCCCCCCCAAUUCCCUCUGUCCAUCUCACAUCGCCCAGCCCUGUGUCUCCCCCUGCCCUUCCUUUCCUUCCUCCCUCAUGCCAAUCUCUCCCCUCCUCCUCCUCCCCCUCCUCUUCUCUUCUUCUCUCUCUCUUCUCCUGGUCGAUGCCGCCCGCACCGCCGAUGGAUCCGAGGAGUGGGGUUACGUCCAAGUCCGACCGAGAGCGCACAUGUUCUGGUGGCUUUACCGGAGCCCGCAACGAGUCGACAACGGUUCCGCUCCAUGGCCGACCGUGCUGUGGUUGCAGGGAGGACCUGGCGGCUCGGGCGUCGGGAUCGGUAACUUCCAGGAGAUUGGGCCCGUGGAUGCCAAUCUACAGCCUCGGAGUACGACAUGGCUGCAGAAGGCCGACCUUCUCUUUGUGGACAAUCCGGUGGGCACGGGAUACAGUUUUGUGGAGGACGAGAGCCUCUUCGUGAAGAGUGAUUGGGAGGCAGCCGCGGAUCUGACCACCCUUCUGAAGAAUCUCUACCAUGAGCAGGCGUCGUCAUGGCAGAACAGCCCACUGUUCAUCGUGGCAGAGUCUUACGGAGGAAAGUUCGCCGUGACCGCAGGCUUGUCGAUCGCCCAAGCCAUCAGGGCUGGAGAAUUGAAGCUCAACCUCGGAGGUGUUGCAUUGGGAGAUAGCUGGAUCUCACCUGAAGAUUUCGUGCUAUCGUGGGCGCCUCUGCUUCUCGAUCUCUCAAGAAUUGACAUCAUAGAUGCAGAGAAAUCAAGCAUCAUGGCCGAGAAGAUCAGAGAAGAGAUAAAGAAGGAGCAGUACGGUGAUGCCACGAACUCAUGGGGCGAGCUGGAGGAGUUCAUUGUCACAAGCAGUAACGAUGUCGAUUUCUACAACUUCUUGUUGGAUUCUGGGAGCGAUCCAGUUUCACUGACAGCAGCAGCUGAAGCAUCGCAGAAGCUAUCAUUGAAGAUGUACCCGACCUACCUGAGCUCAAAGGCUUCCACCUCUCCUGACAUUUCAGGUCUCAUGAAUGGUUUGAUCAAGGAAAAGCUGAAGAUCAUUCCAAAGAAUGUUAGGUAUGUCAUUUCAUUUUACGAUCGAUUCCGAGGAAAACAGACAAUCAAUUCUCUUGGACUAAGUUUGCUGAACAGCUGGGGAGGGCAAUCUGGCCUCGUCUUUGAUUCACUCUCGAAUGAUUUCAUGAAGCCAAGAAUCAAUGAGGUUGAUGAGCUCCUUUCCCUGGGAAUCAAUGUCACCAUCUAUAAUGGACAGGUAUGGAUGCAUAACACGCCAUUUCCUCGUUACAUUUUGGUGUUCACUUAGUGAUCCUAAAAACAAAAAAGCUCAACCUGGUCUACUUGGAUUCAACUUGAAAUGCUGAUAUCCAUUGAACCCUCCAGUUGCUGUAAUGGGGCCAAUUAGAGGUGGAUAGAAACACACUGAUGUGGUUAAACAUAGUUCUAGCUACUUUUUUGUGGGCCGAACAAAGUGAAUGCCUUUUGUGUUCCCUGCAUGCUUCUGGUUGUCAUCUUCUACUGGAACUCUUCUGUUUGGCCAAUUUCGUAGGGGAUGAUUCCAACUUGAACAAAACCAAAUGUGGCCGACAUAGGUUGCAGGUUAAACACUGGUUGAGAUGUACCAGGUCGAAGACCACUCAUUAAUUACCAGAGAGAAAGAUUAUUAGAGUGAAAUAUUGACGUAGGCAUGUUGAAAGAAGACCUCUAAAUACUGUGGUCAAACAAAACAAGUUAGAGAGAGGUCUAAGAAGAUUUUACAUGAUCUUCUACUGGUACCAAACCAUACGAACAGCACAACUAAGUUUACAGCAUGUCAAGCUACGUUUAGCAGUUUGUCCUGAAGAACACUGAAAUCUGAUGAUGUUGUUUAGGGGGGGAAGUACAAUGUCUUGAUUGACCAAUUUAUGAAGCUCUCUUUGUUUCUUUCUCUGCAGAAGAGACACUCUACACACACAUGAAUUUGUCGGUUGCGCAAAUAAGAUACAAUCUGUUUUGGAGUAAGCUAAAAGAUGUAGUGAAUGUGGCUGGCUGGCUGGCUGGCUGGUACUCUUUUUCUUCUUAACAUAAGGUAUCGGUAUUUUCUUGUCCUGUACCGUAGCCAUGAAUGCAGGGCCGUAGUUCAACAUCAUCAGAUGCAUAGAGAACAAGCAACCUUAGGUCAAGCGCAAGAGAAAUUGUAAUAGCCGAAGAAAGAUGGAGAGAGACAAGGCGGGCGGAAGACAACCUCUUCUGGUUUUUUGUGCUUGCCAAAGACACUAGUGCUCGACAUAGACGUGGAACUUGUAAUAGGAAUCCUCACCACGAAGGAAGGAAGGAAGGAAGGAAGGAAGGGGUACACCCUCUUCCCUUUGGUUAUAAAAAAGGUAAGGAUGAGUACAUCAACCAACCCUAUCCAGAUUCUACGUCGACGGACUCCUCCCACGGAAGGAAGGAAGGUAAGGGGGUUGAUCUGAUUUGUGCAACCAAGGGCACUGAAGCAUGGGUUCAGAAGCUCAAAUGGGAUGGGCUGAAGAACUUUAACAGCAUGGAUAGAAAGCCUAUAUACUGCAGCAGCGAGGAAGUGGGAGUCACCAAAGGCUUC